AUUGAACGCUGGCGGCAUGCUUUACACAUGCAAGUCGAACGGUAACAGGCCGCAAGGUGCUGACGAGUGGCGAACGGGUGAGUAAUGCAUCGGAACGUGCCCAGUCGUGGGGGAUAACGCAGCGAAAGCUGCGCUAAUACCGCAUACGAUCUAUGGAUGAAAGCGGGGGACCGAAAGGCCUCGCGCGAUUGGAGCGGCCGAUGUCAGAUUAGGUAGUUGGUGGGGUAAAGGCCCACCAAGCCAACGAUCUGUAGCUGGUCUGAGAGGACGACCAGCCACACUGGGACUGAGACACGGCCCAGACUCCUACGGGAGGCAGCAGUGGGGAAUUUUGGACAAUGGGCGCAAGCCUGAUCCAGCCAUGCCGCGUGCGGGAAGAAGGCCUUCGGGUUGUAAACCGCUUUUGUCAGGGAAGAAACGCUUCGAGCUAAUACCUUGGAGUAAUGACGGUACCUGAAGAAUAAGCACCGGCUAACUACAUGCCAGCCGCCGCAGUAACAC
rnacentral:rRNA from 1 species